rnacentral:rRNA from 1 species
CCUACGGGUGGCAGCAGUAGGGAAUCUUUCACAAUGGGCGAAAGCCUGAUGGAGCAACGCCGCGUGCAGGAUGAUGGCCUUCGGGUUGUAAACUGCUUUUAUAAGCGAGAAAUAUGAUGGUAACUUAUGAAUAAGGAUCGGCUAACUACGUGCCAGCAGCCGCGGUCAUACGUAGGAUCCGAGCAUUAUCCGGAGUGACUGGGUGUAAAGAGUUGCGUAGGUGGCAUAAUAAGUAGCUAGUGAAAUCUGGUGGCUCAACCAUUCAGACUAUUAGCUAAACUGUUAAGCUCGAGACCGUUAGGGGUAACUGGAAGUUCUAGUGUAGGAGUGAAAUCCGUAGAUAUUAGAAGGAACACCAAUAGCGUAGGCAGGUUGCUGGGACGGUUCUGACGCUAAGGCAAGAAAGCGUAGGGAGCAAACGGGAUUAGAUACCCCAGUAGUC